rnacentral:tRNA from 1 species
GGGCUGCUGGUCAAAUGGGAAGACGCCGGCGUCGCAAGUCGGAAAUCGGGGUUCGACUCCCCGGCGGUCCA